rnacentral:rRNA from 1 species
ACGGGGGGUGCGAGCGUUGUCCGGAAUCACUGGGCGUAAAGGGCGCGUAGGUGGUUUGAUAAGGGUGUGGUGAAAGUCCGGGGCUCAACCCCGGAUCUGCCGUGCCGACUGUCAAACUCGAAGACUGUAGAGGCAGGUGGAAUUCCGGGUGUAGCGGUGGAAUGCGUAGAGAUCGGGAGGAACACCAGUGGCGAAGGCGGCCUUCUGGACCAGUACUGACGCUCAUGCACGAAAGCGUGGGGAGCAAACAGGA